GGCGGCCUUCGCCCCCGGCCUUCCCGGAGCCGGCGAGAGCUCGGGAGAGCUGGGGUGCAACCCUCGCCCAGCCCUGGGUGUGUAUCAUGCCUUCAUCCGCUGGCGCCUUACACUUAUGGAGGGUCCUCAGGAUCAGCAUCCCUGGAGACCCUCAUUUGGUAGAUGAGCCCACCGAGGCCCCAGGUAUCUGAUGCAGUGCCUCCUCAGGUAGAACUUACACAGCUCUACACAGAGCCUGGUGUGGUGGUGCUUGCCUGUAACCCCAGUGACUUGGAGGUUAGGACAGGAGGAUGGCAAGUUCAAGGUCAGCCUGGGCAAAUUAGUGAGACCCUGUCUCAAAAUGCAAUAAAAAGGGUUGCAGGUGUGGCUCAGUGCUAAAGCACCUGUGAGUUCAAUCCUCAGUACCCACCCACCCCCAAGAAGAAAAGAUCAAUUUACAGUUCAAAUGCACUAUAUAUGUGUGCAGAAAAUACACAUAGUUAAGCAGAUACAUAUAUUUUCAUAGAAAGUAUAACUGAUAUUAACAGUAAAAACUAUGUGCUCAAGUAGAGUCAGAGAAGAUUCCAGGAAGAAGCAACUCCUGUGUGGAUUUUGGUGGAGCUUCUAGGGGGAUCCUUUCCUGAGUGCCAGCAGAGUGAUGCUACUCUAGACCCAAAUCCAAGCCAGCUGAGUCACAGGCACGGGUAGAAGUCUGUGAAGAAAAGACACCUGCCUUCAUUCUUUCCUCCCUGUCUGCACAGGCCACCCCCCUCCUCCAUGAAGAGGUUGAUCGCAUGUAGCGUUCCUUGCACUGGGGCCGGCUCUGUGACUAUUGCCCAACGGAAAUGGCGGAAGUAAUAUGGGGAGGACUUUCAAGCUUGGGCCUUAAGAUUAUUGGCAGCUUUCACGUCCUUCCUCCUGGAAUCCAGCUUCCCUGCUAUGGGAAGCCCAAGCCACACGGGGAGCCCACACCAAGGAAAACUGGGGACUCCAGGUUACAGUCCACACUGAGAUCCCAGGCAAGAGCCAGUAGCAAGUGCCAGCCCCAUGAGUGAGCCAUCUUGCAUAUUUCAGUCCUUCCAGGCCAGCUAUAAGCUGAUCUGCAGAUCCCUGUGGACCUGCAACAGAAGAACCACCCCACUGAGCCCUGUCAACCUGCAGAGUCACGGGAGAUUAAAAGAGAAGUGGUUGUUCUUUCAGUCAUGAAAGUCUACAGUGGUUUGUAAUGCAGCAAUAAAUGAUUGAAACACUCUGUAAACAUAGAUUUUUUUAAUAUAUAUGUGUGUGUAUGCAUAUGUAAAUAUUUAGUUGUAGAUGGACACAAUACCUUUAUUUAUUGAUAGGUGGUCCUG
rnacentral:lncRNA from 1 species